GAAAAGCUCGAAAAGCUCGAAAAGCUCGAAUAUAUAUAUUAAUUAAUUAAAAAUAUUUAUAAAUAUAAUGUAUUUUAAUUAUAUAUAGCGAUAUAGGCUGAGUAAUAUGUGUUUAAUUUAAUUUGGGCCAUUAUUGUUGGGCCAUUAUUUUUGGGCCAUUACAUACACAUUCUCUUUUUCAGACUUUCACAUAACCCUAACAUCAUAACAUUCAAAUUCCUAAAUCCCUAAUUUUGUCCCUUCUUUCUCUCUCUCUCUCGUUCUCCGUCCGACGCUCACCCUAAGUCAAUCCCUAAUUUUUUUCCCCUCUCUCUCUCUCGUUCUCCCGCAGACCCUCACCCAGUCACCCUAAGUCCCCAACUACUUACACCACGACCACGCAGCCGCCACCCGCCAGCCCGCCACUCGGCACCUCGUCGGUCGUUGUCGUCGAACUCGUUCGCCGUCGUCACCCCAACCUCGUCCGGCGAACUCAUCGACCUAUCAGAUCGACCACUCACCAGUCACCACUAAGCUUUUUUGGCUUAGUGACGACGAUGAAUUCCAUCUCAUAAACCUCUUAAAUCUCCAAUUCCACCUCCUUUGCCUAGUUAGGUACGUAAUCUCCUUCUCCUCCCCUCGUUUUAUUCGAUUUAAUCAGAAUUUGGUUCCCCACAUCUAAUUAAAUCCACUUUGUUGUUGUUGUUGAUGAUGAUGAUGAUGAUUGUUGUUGUUGUUGUUUGCUGGGUUUUUUGAUCGUGUUCACUGUUGUUAGGGGUGUUGUUAUAUUUAUUGAUGAUGAUCACUACAACAAAAACGGUCUAUAGCGACACUUUUAAAUGUAGGUACAUAUCAAAAAAGUGCUGCUAGCUAAAAUUACCGACACUUUUAAAAAGUGUUGCUAUAUGUGGGGUCGCUAGAUAUAUAGUGACAGUUAAAGAGUGUCGCUAUAACCUAAAAGAGUGCUGCUAAUUUACCAACACUUAUUUAACCAUUUAGCAACCGCCGAAACUCUAUUUCGUUGGCUGCGGUGGCGGAGGAGGAUGACAGUAAAGGCUCUUCGUCUAGAAUUUCAGUGGAUUGAGUGAAGAGAGAAGAAAAGAUGGUAAUUGAUUUUUCUUUUUUUUUUUCUGUUUGUAAUCGGGCCAAAUGGACUAGGUGUGGUGGGUUGAGUAGAGUAAUCUUUUAUUUUUGGUUGGAUUGAGCUUUAUAUUUAGGCAUUAGUAGAUGUGUUUUUAAGUUUUAGUAUAAAUGGGACACUUACUCAAAAGUGUCCCAAACAUGUGUCCCUAUAACCUAAUUCUGUUGUAGUGGAUGAUGAUGAUGAUGAUGAUGAUGUUAUUAUUGUUUCCAUAUCAUGUUCUAAAAAAAAAUCAUAAUCUUAUUAUUAUUUUAAUAUUUUUAUUAUUGUAAAAUGAGGUGUCUGAGACUCUGAGGUUAGAGGUAUUUUGUUUAUAUUGUUGCAACACAAAAAUAAGUAUUUUGUGCUAUU
rnacentral:lncRNA from 1 species